GGGCAAGUGGUGGAAUGGCAUACACGCAGGACUUAAAAUCCUGUGACCGAAAGGUCGUGUGGGUUCGACUCCCACCUUGCCCA
rnacentral:tRNA from 1 species